ensembl:lncRNA
CUUGAAAUAAGAUAUAAACCAAAAAUAGCACUACCUCCUUUUACAAAACCGUUCAAUACAUAGCCAGAGGAAAACUCUCUUAACAAAGUAAUUUUUUCCACCAUUUAUUUUUUGUUUCUUAAUAAUAACGAAUACCAAAAUUGUUGUUACACUUACUGUAUGACUGAAAAAAAACAGAACAGAGACACAAUCUGGAUUCCCUAACGCUAACUGCUUGAGCCUGAAAAACAAAGAGACGUUUCACUUUUCAUGGAGUAAAAAAAAUAUGUCUACCUCUCCUUUCACCACAUCUAAAGCACUCUCUAGGUCCCGGCGUGUUGUGAAGUGGUCAACAUAUUUUAAAGGCUUACUCUCAGCGCUAUCAUGUUGACCAUCUCUCGCUCUUUCUCUAUCUCUCUCCCUCAAUCUCUCUCUCUCUCUGUUUCUUUCUCUCUCUGCGCCCCAAUUAUCACCGAGCUCUGUGAGCAGCUCCCUAAUUGUGCACUCAGAAAACACUCCUAUUUCCUUCUCCAGCUUAGCAUAACAUGAUGUAUUCUUGUAUAUUAACUCUCUCCAGGGCAUUUUUUCCCCCCACUUUUCUUCUUUAUGAUUUCUGUUCUUUAUUGGGGGGGGGGGUUGUUUUUUUUUCCCCUGCUCCCGUUUAGCUAUUGUAAAGCUUCCAGCUCUGAUUCCUAUACUGUACUGCUAUUGCUGAAGUAUAUGUAUUUAUCAUAUUACGUGCUGCAGGUAUCUUGGUUUAAGUUUUGUUUGUUUAUUUUCGUUGCCAUUUGUUUUCCAUUUUUCAGUUUGUUUCAAAAAAAAGAAAAAAACGUCUGGGACGCUGAUUUUUUAAGUGUAUUAUCUCAAAAAAAUUAAAAGAGUAAAGUUAGAUCAGUGGUUUAGGUAACACCUGUUUGUAUAUUUAUCUUAGCUAGGUCUAUUUUGAUACUUUUUGUCUCUGUACUGCAUUUAUGCAUUUUUAAGGAAAGACAAAAACAAUGGAAAACAAACUAAAGAGUUACUUCGUUAUGUAAUGAUACCUCAGAAGGACUUUCUCCUCAAAGACAGGACCAAAACCUCCAAACAAGGCAAAACGAGAAAGAGGAAAAUAAUGUUAGAAUAUGUAGCCCCCUUUUCUGCUCGAGGGAAAUAAUGGCGCUAUGUAAACCUAUGACUGUUGGUCCUUUCAGGUGCCAAUAGGUGUCCAUGCUCCCUGUGAUCCCGCCCCCUGACCACCUCAACCCUGUCAUUCCUGUGCUAAACUCUGACCCGCAGAGCUGUCAAUCACCCACAGGUGCAAUGGGAGGUUAUCAUCGAGUCUGGUUUGCAGCGACGAGUCAUAAGCCUCAUUUGGCAGUCCCUUAGAGCUAUUUAGGGACCAACACUGUUGCAUUUUUGAUAUUCUCCACACUCUCUCUCUCUCUCACUCACUCACUCUCGCUCUCUCUCUCUCUCUCGCUCGUAUACAUUAGAUCAAUACCAAAAUGUGGUACGGCUUUUAGAAACGCAGCAUCAUCCUCUCGACUACCAAAGGCAUUGAGAGAAACUGUUGCUAACUCCAAACUUGUGAACUUAUAACCAAACUGUAAAACCAAACCAAUGCCACUAACGUAACCAAACGAAGCCAAGCCACUUCCAAAACCCUCCAUCCACUUUGCUCACGCCGCUAGCCCUCAUCCGCCGUGCGCCAGCCACUCCCUCUAGCCCCCCGUGGGUGACCGCCUCGCGGGACACGUGGACCCACAAAACCCCUGCUGUGUGAUUGGACAGUUCUGUGGCGUCGUCCUUAACGAGAAGGGGUCGAGGGACUCUCAAAACGAAGCAUUGCCUGACGGUAUUAGCAAGUAAGAAUGGCGGGAAUCCAAUGGAACUACCACUUCAGCUCUCCUUGGGUUCGUCCUUGGGAAAGUGUGUAUAUUUACAGCAGUGACGCUCUGUAUCAUUUCCUAGUUUUUCUGUUGACCUGUUUUCUCCCUCUCUCUUUUAGCCUAUUUUUUUGAUUUUAUUUGUUCUGUUUUAUUUUUUUUUUCCAUUUUGUUUGAAAGUGUGACCCGGGUCAGGAGGCCGGGGGCAGCGGGCGGGGUGGUGUUUUAGACGGAUGACUCCCGCCACCCUAUACCCCUCUGCAACCCCCCACCCUUGGGGGGCCAUGUAAUGCCAGUCACUGCCCUUUUCCUUCAUGCUGUAUAAAGAACACACACAUAUAUCUGUGUAUUUGUAACCUGAAUCUUCUUGUGUCUGUCCAUGCAGACAAUAAAAAAACUGUACAGUAGGUCUAG